GACGAACCGUGCGAACGUUGUUCGGAAUCACUGGGCUUAAAGGGCGCGUAGGCGGGUUCGCAAGUCUGUGGUGAAAUCCUCCAGCUUAACUGGAGAAGUGCCAUGGAUACUGCGAGCCUCGAGGAGGUAGGGCAUCUGGAACAGUAGGUGGAGCGGUGAAAUGCGUUGAUAUCUACUGGAACUCCGGUGGCGAAGGCGAGUGCUGGACCCUUCUGACGCUGAGGCGCGAAAGCCAGGGAGCGAACGG
rnacentral:rRNA from 1 species